GGGGCGGGGCGUGCCGCCUCGGAGGGCGGGGCGUGCCGCGGGGACUUCCCCUGGGUUGAGCUGCGCAGCCGGAUUUUGGCCAAAUUGGGCGAGGGUACAAUAUUACCACUUACCCCUUCUCACCGAGGAAGAGCGGGAGAAAGGGUAUGGCACAGUCACAAGGCUGGGCAAGAAGAUGCUUCAGGGCCUUUUGCAAAGGCUUCUUCGUGGCAGUCCCUGUGGCAGUCACUUUCUUGGAUCGGGUGGUCUGCGUGGCUCGAGUGGAAGGAGCAUCGAUGCAGCCUUCUUUGAAUCCUGGGGGAAGCCAAUCCUCAGAUGUGGUACUUUUGAACCACUGGAAAGUGAGGAAUUUUGAAGUACAGCGUGGUGACAUUGUGUCACUGGUGACAACAAAGUGCAUCAUAACGAGAACAUGUAAGAAAGCUACUAACCACAUCAGGAGUCAAAAGAGGAGAAUAUACUGAGGUAUAGUGUUCCCUUCAAGGACAAAGCACAAUAUACUAAUAUGGUUUCUCUAGACCUCACUUCAUAAUGUAUCAUAAUUGCAGUGGUGGUCUGGAUUAAUCCUUUAGCAAAUGAGCCUACCAAUCGACUUAGAAGAUCUAAACUAUAGUACUAAUUUGCCUCUAUCCUGGGGCUUAUCUGUAUUUCAUUAUCUUCAAUAAAGUAGAUCUCAUGCCCUCUGCUUACGUUAUACCUACUUUUUAGUUCUCAGGCCAAGGAUUUCAUUUUCACAGAGGUUUUCCUUAUCUUUUUCCUUAGUAACCUUAGUCAAAGACAGGUUCCUUUGUUAGUGCUACUUUUAUUUCAGUUGCAUCAGUGUGUUACCUAACAUUUGUUAACUUUAGUCUUUCAUUUUGGUUUCUUACUCUUAUGUUCGUUCGAGACCCCGAAAGUUCUAAGAUAGAAGCUACCAUUGCAUUGCUGUGUCUUCAGAGCAUGGCACACAAGGCCUGGCACACCUGCAUGCUGGUCAGUAAAUACAUGCCAAAACACCCAGGUCAGACCAGUCCUGUCAGGUGUCAAAAGAGUGUCAUUAUCUCUACAUGAGUAAAUGCAGGUUGAGAGCGAAGCCGGUUACAGGCCACACAGGAGAACAUGAUGUGUACAAUUCCACAUUGAAGAAACAGCCACAGAGAAUGCAUUACUGCAGGCUAACUACCAGAGCAAAUCACUGUAGAAUCCAAUAUGUAAUUUAACAAUGAAAAAUCCUCAUACUUCAUUGUGAAUUUGGAGAGUCAGCAGGUUUAAUAACUAAAUACUCAGGGUAUGUAGUCUCCAGACACAGUUUUCAUUAGUCCCCUUCUCUGGUGGCCAAGACAUGCAGGAGGCAGAAUUGCUUAUGCUUCCAGGCUUUAGAUUGUGUCAAGCUUCACUUGAGGAAGUAUUUGGUCAAUAAAACAAGGUUUCUAUUGGAAUUCUGCAUCUUCUCCUAAUAAGUUUAGUAUUAGAGUCUACUCUUUCCAGUGCCAUGUCUCAAUCAAUCCUCAGCAAAACUCAAAACCAAGCAAAGAGUAAUAGUUAAUUGGCGGUGCUGGUCAAGACACCGCAUUAGCAUUCUGUGCUUUCCUCGCUCGAGUGGCUUUGUCUAGACCAAUUUGCAUUAAGUUGUUAUUUAAAUUUAUUUUAUUUUUACUUAAAAUCUAAUCACAUCAUUUUCUCCUCUGUGUCUUCCUUCCAGCCCCUCCUGUGUCCUGCCUCUAUUCCCACACAGGUUUUACCAAAAGAGGGAUGAGAAAUGGAGGAGACUUUAACUGGGGAAAGCAGGUAGCAAGUGGCAGAUUGUAAGGAUUGCCAUAGAUGUCCAGGAGGAAACACCUGUCAGUUUGCUCUGUAUGAAGAAGCAGCCCUCUCCCCAUUGCGGAUAACAACUCGUUUCUACUGUCUCUAAGGCUUCUUUGACUUCCUUCCCCGAGAUUCUCACUUAUUAGCUUAAAUGUGGCCCUUGAAAAUAUCUUCCUCAUAGAGCUGAAAUGAAUUUUCCUCCUAACAAAAGCCAUGCUGAUGCUUAGCAGUUACUUUAUUCUAGUGCUAGUGAAACUGAUAUUAGCCACAUUAUGUGACAUCAGGUAUAAUCAAAUACUCUUGAGUAUCUAGAAUUGUCUUGCUUACGUCUGAAAAUAGUGCAAGAAUAUGGAUGACGUGAAUUCCCCAGAAGAAAGAGUUGCCCAAUAAGGAGACUUGGUGGACUGAAUUCAGUUUCUGGCUUGUUUUAAGACAUGUUUGAAAUCUGUAUUACAUUCUAAGUCAUCAGCUGCUUUAAAAUUUUGGGUUUGUUUCAUGUGGAACAAAGACAAGAUAGGAACAAGAGAGCAUAAACAGCAAUUUACAGGGCUUCCCUGUGUGUUUUGCUGUAAUAAGAACAAAUUAAGAUUAGAGAAGACUAAUAGCUCAGACUACUAUGAGAGAGAAAAAGUUUAUCCAUAGACUAAUGCAGCAGACUGGUGUCUUAGGACUGACCACCUAGGGCAGGGUAGCAUCCACUGCUCACAGCACUGGGACUUUGGGGCUGAACGGGGGCAGUGACACAUGAGCACUAGGGCCUCCAUUCACUCCGAAAUUGGAUGACUUGUAUGCCACUUGGAAAAUGUGGCUAGCUUUGAUUUGUGUUAAAAUAGUGGAAGGAGACAGUAUUACACAUUUUUCAAAAGCAGAAUAUCAAAUUUAAAAAUUAUAAUGGCUGUAUUUUUAUUUUGAGCCCUCUCAGUGAGCUUCUCUUGGAUAUUUAUAUACAUACGUACAUACAUACUUUGAUAAUUUCCACCAUAUCAACUACCUUUUCUUAACCCUCUCCACUAGCCACCUGAACCUUCCUUGGUAGUCUCUCUGCUACUAUUUUUAGGAUGCUGUUAAAAAAAUCUCACUUUCCAGAUAUGAAAGAUAAAACAAGCAAGCAAGUAAGCAAACAAAAACAAUAAAAGCACAUGCAACUGGUGUGCCUCAGUUAUCUCACUCAACAUUAUGACCUGAUUCUAUCCAUUUUCCUGCAAAGGACAAUUUUUUUUGGUAGAGGACUAAUACUGUUUUAUGUAUAUAUAGCAUGUUUUCCCAAAUCCACUCUUGUGUUGAAGGACACCUUAACUGACUGUGGCUCAUCUCUGGUGGAUGGUGCUGCAGUAAGAGAUAGGGAUGCCUGCAUCUUUCUUGACAUUUGAGUUGGUUUCCUUUCAGUGUGUACCAGGCACAACUGGAUCUUAAAGUUUUUGUAAAAGUGACUAUUUCUGGAUAUUCCAUACUGUUCUCUACUAAUGUACUAAUUUAUAUUUCCAUCAGUAAUCUUUCUUUUUCACAAAUUGCCAAUACUUUCUGAAAAAGUAGAAUGCUAGAAUGGCAGGCUGAUAGGUGGGCUUGAGCUUUUCCUUUUGGACUUAAUUUUGUGUACUAACUAUCUUGCACUUUUGCAACAACAUACUAAGGUCCAAUAAUGGCAAAACUAUUUUGUAUUUUAAAAUAUUUUUAGACAAAGUCUUACUAUCUGUCUAUAGCUUGUCUAGAAUUUGUUCUUUGUUUCAGGCUGGCCUGGAACUCAUAUAGAUCUUCCUUCCUCUGCCUCCCAAGUACUUGGAUUCAAAUA